AGCGUAGCAAUCCUACCAGCUGCAGCUGCAGGUAGGGUAAAUUCCGGGUUAUUCACAGCCUGAAAGAUAUUAUACAAGAAUUAAUGUUUUUAUCUAUUUAUAUAAAAUAGUAUAAACCAUAAAUCAGCUGGUUAGUAAAAUUUAUUACAGUAGUAUAUAAUAAAUCUCUCAAGUUGGAGGUAAACAAUAGUUAAAUUUUGUGUGGAAAGUUUAGUGUAAACAUAUUAAUUUAUUUAUACUUAAUUUCUCUUUAAAGGAUACCUACCCUUUGAAGUAACCUCCUGCGAAAGGUUUCAAGGCGAGCGCUCUGCCGGCAGCUGCGACAUUCAUGUGUUUCAGGUUGUAUAUGUUGGGGAGAUUGUGAUGGACCGGCUAAUUCAUCAGCUGUUGGCCGCUGUCUAGCAACACCAGCUGGGGUAUUCACUGUUGAAGGUGUCUGGGAUAUAGCUGAAGUUGAAGGUUGUACUCGUCUGGAAGGUUGGGAUGGUCCAGCUAAUUCAGCAGUCAUUGCUCGCCGCAUUGCAACAUUAGCUCGUGUAUUAGACGACGACCUAUCUACAGAUAGCCAAAUUCCAUCGGUUGAGGAUGCCUGGGCUACAGCUGAAGUUGAAGGUAUUGAAUGAGGUGUAAUAGGAGGUACUACUAAUGAGGGUCUAACAACAGAAACUAUUGUUGGUGAGAGCUGUUGAAAAUAAAAUUAGUA